UUUUUUUUUUGUUUUUGCUGAUGCACAACAUAGGCAGUUGCACAACCGGUUGUGACGAGGGUCUCAUCGUAGUCAGUUCACAAACCGACGGUGAUGAGGAGGAUCAACACCACCGCUGAAUUACUGCCGUCCCCGAAAACCGUCUGUGUUGACCCCGUUAGAACCAGCUGUGACGAGGGUUUGUGUAGUAGUGUAGCCUCCAUGAGAUUUUUGACAAUACUACUACAGUCACCCACCAACCUAAAUUUCUAAAUGAGUAGGUCGCUUGCAAGUGCUGAUCCUUCCCUACACGCUAGUGCUUCCGCUGUAUCGGCAUCCGUUACCCCCUUCAAGACUACUGCUGACGCUCUAGGAAAAAUUCCACCAGCAUCCAUGGCUACCCCAGCCAUCGCUGCAGUGUUCGAGUUCUUUGACAUGGUCGGAUCAACAUUAAUUUUCACAAAACUAGAUGGAGCAGGAUCCACUUCAGAAUCUGAACCUGACCCGGUUGUUAUUCCAUCUUUGGGAUAGGCUUUAACAUCUCCAAAUCUGUAACCGUUCAAUGAAAUAGUGUGUUGAUAACGGGAUUUGGAAUAGAUUUUCAUGAAUUUCCUUCCAAUGCGCAUGCCAAAUUGCCCAUAGCCUCACGACCACCUAGGUUAGCUCAUCAUGGGACAAAAUCCAUGACCUCCUCCUCCAGCGUCUUGCUGCCUUCUUUGGCCGGAUCCAAGCUGCAAUCCCCCAACCUGCCCUGAUUUCAAACAUUGCCUCUCUUCCUCAGGGCAGCAUCAAUGUGACCAAAAAGGUAGCAUUAGGCAAUCAAUGCUGCUACAGUUAUUGACCCUCACCAUUGUGGGAGCACACCACAAGUGCCAUCCGGGAAAAACAAAUGUUAAGCUUAAGGGCGCGUUUGGUAGGGCUCCAGCUCCGGCUCCGGUCACGGCUUCUGCUGGAGCCCUACCAAAGGGCAACGCACGAAAUGGCUCUGCGAGUGAAGCACCCACGGAGCCGGAGUCCUUUUUGUACUGCCAGGGAGGAGCCAAAAAUAGUGGCUCCUCCGGCUCCUCCUUGUUGUUGCCCACCGUUGCCCUCAGGGGAGGGUCCACAGGCAGACGGAGGCACCUCCGGGCAGGUGGGCGGCGGCCGACGGGAGAGCUCCGGCGGGCGGCGGCCGACGGCGACGGCAGGGGUGGAGACGGCGACGACGACUUUUGGGGCGGAGACGACCGGGAGGAGGCGGGGACGGAGACGGCGACGGCCGGGAGGAGGUGGGAGGCGGGGGAGGAGGUGGCCGGGGGAUGGCCAACGGCGAGAGAGCUCCAGCGGGGGAGAGUGGAUCGGCGGGGGAGAGCUCUGGCCGGUGUGGGAGGAUAGGGAAGAGAAAGAAGAAUGGGAGGCUGGCGUGGGAGGAUAGGAAGGAGAGAAAGGAAAUAGAAAAAGGAAUGGGAGGAGAGAAAAGAAAUAGGAAAAGGAAAUAGGAAGAGAAAAGAAAGAAAAUAAAUAGGAAGAAAAGAAAAAAAAGAAAAGAAAAAAUGAAAGGGUGUUAUGGGUAUUUCAUCUUAUCUAACCAUUUUAAACUACACGGAAGAGCCGUUUUGCCAAACAAUUUUCCAAAAGGAGGAGCCAGAGCCGAAGAAGCCACUCCACCAGCCAGAGCCGGAGCUGUUUUCGGAGGAACCGGAGCCAUGCCAAACUGGCCCUAAGAUGCGGCAACAAGAUAAUAAAAUACAAUACUACUGCUGUUUACACGAAUAAAAUAUACAUUUCAGUUUAACCGUUGCCCUCAAGUCGUUGCUCCCGCAAUCAAGCCGUUGCUCUGCUCUGCUUACUGUUCCUCUGCCCAGGUAGCCGUUGGCUUCAGCUGCUUCACCUACAAAAUAGAAGCAAGGUCAGUGAACAACACAACUCACAGUUCAUUUGACCAAAAAUGGACCACUUCAAUAGAAAUUUCGCCAACAUGCCAAAUCAAAGUUCCUCGAGCCAAGGAGCAGAGAGUGAUAGCCCCCAAAUCUCCCCUCGUUCAAUUUCCCACAAAUUUCUCCCAAUACUUACACCAAAUUAUCUACAGAACUUCCAUCCAUUUGGUCCUCCGAGCAACUACCAGCCAUAUGGCCACCCACCUCCAACCUGUUGGAAUUAUGUGCCUAAUGUACUGUUCUAAUUUUAUUUGGAGGAAAAACACAUACAUAAAAAAUAAUGCAAGCAUAUAACAUACGUAAACAUCCAACAUACUGACUGGAACAAGAUUGCGCAAGGAAAUUACUCAAUGAUCCCGCGCAGAACGUAGUCGAACGUAUUGAAGCAAAUGUUGCAGAAUCACCAAGCGGUCACGUGAGGACGCUGCCCAAAAACCUGAUUGCCACCCCGUGUCGGAGAUCCCGCUUUCCUUCAAGUCCGGUGCCCGUCGAAUUCAAAGGGCGACAAGGCGUAGCAGCAAGAUGUGCAGCGUAGUGAGUGGGGAGGCGAGCGUGUGACAAUGUACCUAUCAGCCAGGAUGUCUCUUGGUGUUACAGGCCUUCAUAGUGCAUCAAUACCCCUCAUCAAGCAAACUCAUCAGGAGUAGAAACUACCCAUUUGAAUGACAGAAACUGCUGCCAUCAAAUAGUAGAAACUGAUGCACCUUAUUGCUGUUUAAAACAGCAGUUUCAAUCUCAUUGUAGUGCCAUUAGGCUCAGCAUAAAAAAAUAGAAACUGCACAAGUAAUAGCUUGUUGUACACACAAGUCACAAGUCACGCGAUUUUUCACGUGAAAAUGCACGUGAGCUGUACGUGCGUGUAGCAACAGUCUCCUCUUUCAUUUGCACCUAUUUUGCAUAGCGAGGAGACUCACAUAUUUAAGCAAGGCAAUCUCUCUAUGGAACUAAAAGUUGUGCAUGCUUUGGAAUUUUUAGAUUGGACCACACAUGAACCUAAAUCCAACACAAUAUUUCAAGGUGCACACAACCAUGGAAAUUGGAUGCAACCUAUUCCAGGUUGCUGUCGUUCGCCGCAAAUCCAACAACCGGAGGAGAUGGGGGACUAUGCGAGGAGGAUGCUGCAGAGGCCUUGUUGCCCCGGGGCUGCAUGGUAGAGGAUCGCUGGGUCGGAGGGCGGGGCGAUGCUGCAAGGACAGGGAGAGACCAGUUUGGUUGCCGUCGCCGCAUCGGGUGCGGGAUCGGGGUGGACUAGGUGACGUGACGGUGGCAGCAGUAGGUGCGGAUGGGAAUAUCCCCCAUCGUGGUUUGCAAGGAAAUAACAACCGAGAUAUGAUUUGGCCAAAACAUUCUAACUAUAACAGAUAUUGUCGCAUUUUGUUACUACAAAAUAUACCUAAACAAUCCUAGCCAUAACAAGAACGUCUCGAUUGUCAAUUACAUCGUCAAACACUGACCUCAUCAUUCUUUGCUUUCUUCUCCAAGCACUUGCAUCAAACAUGAAUUUUCGUAUCUCAUGCGGAAAACAUACCCCCUUAUAACUUGGCCACAAGAUAAUGAUUAUAUUUAACGGCUUAGAUUUUUUUACUGUACAUGAUAACUUGUACUCCAAAGUAUCCUUUUAGCCUUCAAAUUUGAUCACAAAAAGUGGUCUUUUAGCUUGUAGUGAACCUCAUGUGAUUAAAGCAACACUACGUUUACCGAGUGCCCAAUAGAAUACACUCGGCAAUUGAAAAAAUACUCAGCAUAUCUACCGUUUCUGGUAGUACAACACUCACAACAAUUAAAAUAAGCAUGGAGAAGCGCGUCGAGCCAAUCAAAUAAUUAGUUGAUGCUAUUUUUCUGGUGCAUUUAUUCAGGAUCCAGAAUACCAAAUAAAGAGCAGAGGAGGUGGCUCUUUUGAUGUUUGCUCUACUGCUAUAUACACUUCCCCCAAUCACAAAUAACUGACGGUUUAAGGUUUGGAGUCUAAUAUUUCAACUUCCCCUUCUUCUUGCCGCGGUGGCCGUCCUUGCCCCACUGUUGAUGGGGCUCAGCUCACGCCCGCGCCACAGCACUAACAGCAGCCAUCCGGCGCUCCUCCUCUACUUCCUCUUGGGGGUAUCCGCGGUGUACAUCGCACUUAUGCCCUACGUCCUGUCCUUCUUGACCUCCUACCUGUCUUCCUUGAAAAACGAACAUGACUGGACCUACUUCGUGCUUAUAAUGUUUUCUAUAGUCCUCAUCCAGUUCCUCAGGGCCAAGGCUGAUGUGUGGCAGCUCUGGCCGUGGCUGCCAUCACCUCGCCUGUGGCGGACGACGACAUCGACGGCCUAAAGAUCCGGCCAUCCAUGGUGAGCCUCGCCUACCCCUUCUGGGUGGCGGCGCUUGUCAUCUACAGCAUAUAUACUUCUCUACGUGAAAACGGCCACCAGCCGCGUCUACGUCAUCGAGCAGUACGCCAUUGUAAUUGCGCCCCUCUGGUUCCUUGACGCCUGCAGGAUGGUGCUCAGGUUCGUCGUAUUCCAGAGCGCGGCCGGUUCCUUUGCUCUCGGCCGCAAUGUGCAGCUCGUCAGCGGCCACAUGGCGGAUCUCCAGCAAACUGGCUGCUUCGGAGCUGAGUGGCAGCUCCCAGCGGCAGUGCCCUGUCUCAUAGUCACGGGAGAAAGGAACCGGGACGUGGAAGAAAGCCCAACGGGAUAGCGUGUCAAGCCUUCCGCUCUGGAAGAUGAACGCAAGACGCUGAUCACACUGGACCGAGUCUGGUCUGAGAGUGGCCAUCUGCUGACCCCGGAGCUCAAGGAUCUCUGCCUCUCCUUUGCCCUCUUCAAGUGCCUGCGUAGGAGGUUUGCGAGGCACCAGCUCGCCGAGGGGGGCUCUAGCUGGCGUUCCGUUUCGUCGUUGGCGACUGGAUGCUCGGCCAGGAAGGCGACCACGAGAGAAUCUUCCGGGUGAUCGCCGACGAGCUUUCAUUCGCAAGCGAUUUCUACUACUCCUCGCUCCGAUCCCCGUGGCUUCUCUGGGCACCCUGCCCGCGGCUCUCCAUUUCUUCUUGUCCUUGCUGAUCUCAAGCCUGAUUAUACGCCUAACACAGGUACCGUUUCCUAGGAAAGACCAAAAGAGAAGCAGAGACCGAAAGGCCAAGAGAAGCAGAGACCGGGCCGGCCGGCGGUGGCGAAGACGCUGUGUGGGAGCUAGCUCCUUGCGGAGUUCUGUGUAGGACUUUAAAAUUUGUCUGCUUCGUUUGUUUCACCGCUGCUACUGUGGGCACUAUCUAAAGUAUUAAUCCAUCCUGCUCCUGCUAAUUACAAUUACCAUCUACAGCAGACAAUUUAAAGUGGUUAUGAAAUUUCUUCAAACUAACUUCUGAAGUAAUACAAAUAAUUUCACACGAUGUGCAUGAAAACAAAAUUAAUUUUACCACACCAUUUACAUGAAAAGAAAAGGAAGCACACAGUUGCAAAGCGUUAUCACUUUCAUGAGAGCAAUUCCCCCUAUAAUAAAGCAGGACCGUAGCCCGUAGGGUCUUUUGUCUAAAACUUGAUAAAAAAAAUGAAGAAUGACGGAGCAGCUAUAAUAAGUUCAGCUCGAGGCCGAUAUUGGAACGACAAACAUUACUCAUAACUCAUAAGAGUUUAGGAGAGUAUUAUUUUUCAUAUUCGGGAAAACAAAUGUAAUUAUUCAGUAAUUACACGCACCAACAAGUUAACCACAAGUAAUUAAAGAAUGAUAGCCAGCAAUUCAAUUAUGCUUCAGGUAAAACAUAGGCACCAACAAGUUCAGCGCAAGUAAAGAAAUGAUAGCCAGCGAUUCACUUAUCCUUCAAUAAAACCAUAGGAUAUCAAAGUUGUUCAGACUACUGUACCAAACGAACGGCGGCCAAAUUAAAUGAAUAAUGAUUCAAUGCCAAAGGAAACAACUACGCAUUAACAAUCUAUUUACCUAGAGUGUGUUUGGUUGCAUGCACCAAAUUGUUUGUACCAUAUAAUCUAAUUAGUAGAAUAAUAUAGUAAGUGGGAUGAUCUCAUCCUGAAUGAGUUGGUACAAUUCACCCAACCAAACAAAAUGAUCAUUAUUAUUUUGAAUCAUUUCAUACAUAAAUCAAUUUAAAUGAUACAACCAACCACCUUAUUAUUUUGAAUCAUUUCAUACAUAAAUCAAUCCAAAUGGUACAACCAACCAAAUACACCUUACACCUGACACGCCUAGGCAAUUUCACCAUCGUCCAAGCAGGAUCACAGCAUUGCUUUGCCUAGCAGUCUUGAUCAAGGAUUGACGAAGAUCUCGAGGUCCAGAAUCUCAGGGGUGAUCGUCUUCCACAGCACGUAGCCACGCGCCAUCCUGAACUGCCCCGUGCCGCCGACCACCGAGAGCUCCCGCAGCGGCGUGCCGAUGUCGUCGCGCCCCAGGACCGUAAGCGAGCUGCCGGCGUAUGGCCCCGACGUGAGCACCACAUUCAUGUUCACCAAGAGCUCCAGGUUGGCCACCGACGCCACCAUGUAAUAGCCCUGCGCGCGGCCCACGGUGGCCGACGAUUGCGAUGUGCCCUCGGUCAGCUUGUCGUCGAUGACCACCGUGUUGCCGAAGUAGCCACGCGGGCCGUUGACCACCCGCACAGCCGUCGGUGACGGCCCGCCCGUCACGUCGUGCAUGUAAAAGUGCAGGUGUGCCGACGUCGCAGCCGCCACCGCCGGGCCGGCGGCGAGGACUGCGGCCAGCAACAUGAUGGAGAAGAGCUUGCAGCAAGCCAUGAGGGGAGGCUGGGACAGAGUUGCGGUGCGCUAGCCAGGCAGUGUGUACGCAUAUAAAGAUAGCAGAAGCAACAGCAGCGGGUCGGAGAGAAUGAGUGGAUGAAAAAAAAAAGGAACAAAAUGGCACAUCUGUGCCAGUGUGACUAUAGUUGGCCAUUUAGCCCGCGGCCCGUGGGUCGGCCUACACCACGGGUGAGGCCUGGGCUGCUGCCUCAGCUCGUGGGUCGGCCCAGGCACGGCACAACUAGCAGCCAGCCCACCAAGGCACGAUGGAGGCAUGUUUAGACACGCUUAGGCACGAUUAAGCACAUCUAAUUGUAAUUUGUAUAUGUAUUGUACGUGCGUUACCUCAGAAUAUAUGUGUUUAUAUGUACAAUAGGCACGAUGGGCCACCGGGUCAGCUCGGCACGGCUACCAGCCUUUAGUGCCGGGCCUUAGCCGCUACGUUGGCCCGUCGGCCAGUCCAGCCCGGCACGAUAAACAUACGGGCCUAACCAGGCUGGGUCUAAACAGGCCGGGCCAAACCGGGCCCGGGUCAGCCCGUUUGGCCAUAUAUGAGUGUGACAGUGUAUGUCCACCGACCGACCGUGGAAGCAGGUGGAUGUGGAUCCAGCCAUACAUGUUUUUCCAUUGAAUAUUUGAACGACUUGCAGCGAUAAAACCGGAUCUAUCCAGCUUGCAAUUGUAAAGCUACCUAGACAAGCAAAUAAAACAGCAGAUUUGGACGUAUAUGCAUGGAUGCUGCGUGGUCCCGAUCUUCAUCCAGAUCGUCGGUGCAUAUACAGCUAGAUUUGGAGGGUUGAGCAGUGACAGAUUUGUAGUGACGCACGACAUCCUGGCAAGAUCGACGACUGGUUGAUAGAUCUAGGUAGUACCAAAGCAGACAAUACAAGGGUGACGUGCUACGUGCCUGAACUUGUAACUUCUUCAAACUAGCAGGAGCCGUUGGAUAUCAAUCUAACGGUAAGACCUAAUAAAUAGCAUAUCCUGCGCUUUUGACAUCUCUUCCCUCACUACGGGGAACAGUAAGUUUGCCGAGUGCCCCACUCGGCGAAGCCCAAAAACGGCACACAACACUCGACAUGGGUUUUAACAGCACAAAGCUGUUUGCCGCGUGUCAAUUAUACGGCACUCAGCAAAGCCUUUUGCCGAGUGUCAAUAAGCACUCAGCAAACUUAAACCCUCAGCAAAAAAAGGUUAACGGCCUGGCACGGAGAUGGCGCUUUUGCCGAGUGUCAGACAGUUAAACACUCGACAAAGUUUAAUAACUUUGCCGAGUGUCAAGAAGAAAACACUUGGCAAAGUUAUUAAACUUUGCCGAGUGUCAAACCCAAGACACUCGGCAAAGAAGCACCAACGUCUAGAUUUUUAUGGCCACUUUGCCAAGUGUUAAUGCCAAUACACUCGGCAAAGUUAAAACACUCGGCAAACAAGGUCUAGAACAACAUAAUUUGGCCUCUUUGCCGAGCGUUAAUGCUAAAACACUCGGCAAAGCCCCCCUUUGCCGAGUGUUAUACUCGGCCAAGUGACCAAACCCACCCUAUUUUAAUUGUUUUGUUAUGUAUAAAGGACCCCUCUCAAACAAACAUCACAACAUACAAAUAAGCAUCACAGGUAUAUAUUAAGCAUCACAGGCACACAAAUAACAUUCACAACACACAAAUAAGCAUCACCAUCACAAGAUCCGUUCACAACCACAAGUAGAUGCUUAAGACAAGUAAUCCACAAGUAUAUAUUCUAGUUUAACCACAAGACACAAGCCGUUGAAACAAGUCACUGAGGAGGCCGCGAUGGCCACUGCGUCCAACCUGGGUCCGAUGGUUGAUUCGAUCCCACCGAUUGAUUCUACACAAAGUUAAAGAGAUUACAUAAGUUACUUUUCUAUUGUGUGUUCUGCAAGAUAUAUACCAUGAUGUAUCUAGUUUUUAGUUUGUUUCUAGUUUCAAGUUUCUAGUGUCUAGUUUAAUUCUAGUUUCUAGUGUCCGGAAUAUUUCUAGUUUCUAGUUUAAUUCUACAUUGAAUGUGCAAAAACUAUAAACGGUGAUUAUAAGGUUGACAAUUAGGUGACUCACAGGAGUAGUUGUAGAAGGUGGGGGUAAAGAGAAUAGGUUCGGUAACAUAGGUGGCGGAGCUUGACCCAUCCUCUCAAAAACACUCUGCAUAUACAAAAACAUCUGCUCCGUCCUCUAUCAUGCUGCCUGCUGAUCUGCCUCCCAUUCUGCCACGAUCCUCACCUCUAGGUCCUCCUGUUGCUUCCUUUCUUGUUCUACCUGGGCCUACAAUUUUUCAUCCCUAUGUUACAAUGCAAAGCAAAACGUAUGUACAAAUCAACGAAUGAUGAAUAAAAUAGAAAUAACCUGUAGAGCCUCCAACUGAAACUGUGCUGAGGUCGGCCGUGGGCGUAUCGCCGAGCUUGAGCUCGUGCUCCUUGCUCGGAUCUGGAAGAGAGUGGGAGUAGAGGCCGUGUCGAUUAUGCUAUCACCAAUCCAAUACCGGCCAUGCUUCUUGACUUCUCCCACCUCAUCACGAUUUCUCCAUCAAGAUCCUGGGAGCUCGGAUCGAACUCUGACCCAUUAAUCUCCCUUGUCAUCGAUGUGUACUCGGUGAUGCGGCUGUGGAUGUUGGGAUCGCUGUAUGCCUCGGCGGAUCCUCCAUGUUGAAAUCGAUGUUGGCCGUCGCCUUACCUUUUUGGAUAGAGCCCAUGUCUUGAAAUUGGUGCAAGGCUGGCCAUCAUGUGACGACGACUACGACAAAAAUGCAAAAUGAUUAGAACUUGUGCAGAAUUGAGCGUUAGAAUAAAGAAAUGAAUUCGCGUACCCAAUUUUCCCUGUGUUCGUCGAGGCUCAGGCUGCCUUGAUGGUGUGAUGCUGUGGCAUCAGCAAACACCACUCCCAGCAAGCAAGGUGGUGCUCCAACCACUUGGACUGCAACCACACGUCCACCAUUUUUUCCCAACACUGGGUCUGCUAGGCGCACCACCACGGAGGUACCUACGUCAUCAAGUAUAUGACAUAUAAAAAAAAUGAAAUUAAGCGUAAUUAAUCUCAAAAAAAUAAGUAUCAACAUUUUAUAUUUACCUUCAAGAAUUCUUCUCGGGUCAGGUUCAUUGUUCUUGCCUCUUCUUUUGUAACCUUCACCAUCUAUAUUGAGCAUAGUAGUCGAUGAUGGCCUGGACACGCGCCUUGUAGUGCAUGUCCUUCACGAGCUUAUUGGCAGCUUCUUCAGAGACGGAGGCCGCCUUGGCCUUGAAUCCCUCCUGGCAUCUGUAGAAGUCCUGCAUAUAGAAUCGAUGUAUAUAGCUAUUAUUUAAAAUGAUAUGUGUAGUGAAGGUGAUGUAUUGAGUAAUGUAGUGCGAGGAAUACUUACCCACAUCUCGGCCUUCACACGGAAUGCCUUAUUUUCGAAUCUCCUGUUGUCACAAUCAGCGACGUUGGGGGCGGGGACGUAGUGGUCCCACGUGUACGCUGGCUCCUGCUGUCCGGUGAACUCCACCAAGCUAGGGAAGUGUAGUCUGCACAAAAGGCUAAGGAUACCGUUGACCUUGCGGUUGUGAUCACCCCCACUAAGCUUAAUCCAACCCCUGCACAAGUGAUUAUUAUAAAUUAUUAGUUUCCAUUGUAAUUUUCAACAUAUCAAACGAAAAAUUAUUGAGAACAUCUAAAGUUACUUACCAUCUCCCAGUGGCUUGAAUCAGUGAGCAUCUAUGAACAGGUAUCGUUCACCUCGGGAGGGAUGAAGGACCUCGCAACCAGAUCUUGGACUGGGAACCCCCAGCCUCCUCCCCCUCCUGCUCCUACUCCUCCUGUACCUCCUCCUCGUCACCACAAGCAUGCGCGGAAGGUAACUCUUCCUUAGAUGACGAGGAAGCUACAGGCGACGGGGGCCUCGCCCCUUUACCCUUCCCUCGACCACUACGUCCACCCUAAACCUCUGCCACCUCCGUUCCCUCAACCCCUGCCUCGAACCCAGCUUCGAUCCCUGCCCUACCCCUGCAUCCACCUCUCCCUUGACCUCUCCCUGAAGAUGAGCCUAAAGCUACAACUUUGAUUUUUUUGUAAAACAUCGAGACCUUCCUUGUACUGCCCACCAUUAUUCAAUCACCUGCAAUUAAAAAGAGUAAACCAAUCAACAUAGAUGAACAAAAAAUACUUAGAAAGAUAUGCAAAACAAUGUAAACAUUCUUCAAACAUAACAUGGUAUGACAAAUAAUAAUUAAAUUAGUACAGAUCAUACAUGUAUUAGAAAUAAUCAUCAUGAUCGGGAUUAGCUGGAUCAUAAGUCUCAUCAUCACUAUCACGCGUGUCGAUAUAAUCAUGUCUGUGCUCCGAAGGAGGAAUGGCAUCAUCAUUGUCAUUGCCUAAUUGUAAUUACUGGAGUAAUUCUAAGUCCUUCACAUUUUGAACCUCGUCUCCAGCGUCCUCGUCAGCAACCCUUUCAUUGUCUACUUCCAUUCCGAUCGCUUCGGUUAAGUCUACCUCAAAACUCCCUUCGGGACCAUCCUCUUGGAAGAACUCUCCGUCAUAUGUGUUGGGAUCUAUGUUGUAAUCUUCAUUGUUUGGUACAUGUAGUUUACCAUGUGGCGAUACUUUGUACACAACAUCCCAACCAUUAAGAUGGUCAUCGGUUUGGCACGGAUAUAACAGAUAAUAAACUUGUGUGGCCUGUUGAGCUACAAUAUAGACAUCAUCUCCUGUUAAGAUGGAUGAUUGUCGAAUUUCGACUAGCUCAAGAUUAGGGACCUAUCUCACGACUGAUGGAUCAAACCAAUUGCAUUUGAAUAUGACUGAUGGAAUACACUCAGCAAACAAAAAACACUCGACAUAUCUACAGUUUCCGAUAGUGACUACGCCAAAAAAACAAUUUUUACUGGUGGGCCAAAUGGUUAUGUGCUGGCGAGUAUUGCACCUGGCAGCAACUUUGAGCCAGCACAAAUGGCUCUCUGUGCUGGCGGGUGGUUAUGUCACCCGGCAUCACAUUUGAUUUUGCGAAAAUAAAAAAAAGAGGCUCCCGCCGCCCGCCGGCCUCCUGCUGCACCAGCCGACAUCGCUCGUCUUGCCCUCGCCGGCGUCGCUCCUCGCGCCGUGCCCAUCUUCCACGCGGGGAGCACGGCGGCUCAGCUACGCUCCGCUCAGCUACAGCGACGCGGCCACUGCCGGUCGCCGGGGACUCCUGUCGCGGCCGCCAGCAGCACCGGGAUGAGCGGCAUGUCGUCGGUGCUCAUGGCCUCCUCCACGCUAACCGGCUGCCCACCUGCACGCCGCUGGGCGGCUGCCACCGGGACUCUGGGAACGCGGCCUCCUGUAGUGCACCACCGCGGCCGUAGUGCAGCGGGUCCGUGUACACCACCGGGUCAGCCGUAUUCGAAGUCCUCCUCGCGGCCGUAGUUGGCGUACACGGCCUCCGCGGAGAUGAACCCGGACGCCGCGUACGCGUAGAACAUCCGCGGUGAGCCUAAGCGAGAGCAAAUUCAUGCUGCAGCGCCCCUACGACAUGCCGAGCGCACCCGCGCACCCGUCGCCGGCCACCCGCGCUGCCCUCGCACGCCCGCCCGCGCCCGGGAGAGUUAGCACCAGGAGGGAGGGAAAGUUGAGAAAGAUCGGAGAGAGAGAGGAAGAGUUAGCACAGGGAGGAGGGAAGGAGAUAAAGGUGGGAGCGAGAGAGGAGCUAGAGUGGAUCCGGGGAGAGAAAUUCGGCCAAUGGGAGAGCUCCAUUUUGGAAAUACUGAUUGAUCGUGGUGGAACGUAUGUGGGCAUGCAUGCACAGUGGGACAUGCAUGCACACAGUGCAUGUGCAUGGUGCUGCGCUCGCUUUUGUGCAGGAGCUGGGCACUGUGUUGGUGGGUCACAUAAGCGCCCACCAGCACAAAUUCAUCCACAUGUACCGGCGGAUGCUUGUGUCACCCGCCAGCACAGGCAGGCGUUACCCCGCCAGCAGAAGAACCAUCCGCUAGCAUGGUAAUUUCUCUGUGUCAGCAAAAAUUAUUUUUGGCAUAGUGCUUCAACACUGAUUGCGGCCUAUGAAUCUAUGGAUGUUGCAGCCUCACUUCCGAGUAUACCCGCUGCCCACGUUGUAAGAAAUGCAGCCUUGAUCGAGAUUUCUCAUCCUUCUAAUGAAAUAAAUCAUAAUAAUAAUAAAUAAAUGGAGGAUAAAGUAGUUAAGCUUUACAAUACUUUUGAUAAGUGAUAUCUUCACAAAAUUAAGGAAAAAAAUACGUGCAUUACCUCCCUAAGCUUCCUUUGUCACCAUGGAAAAGGAGACCGAGCUCUCUAUCAAUGAGUGGCUCGGACGAUCAGAGACACCAUCCUUGUCCUGUUUCCAUGAGACCGAGCUCUCGAUCUACCAGUGUCUCUUCUCCCAGUAACGGAAGGCCAGAUCAGAGACACCAUCCUUGUCCUAUUUCCAUGCCACACUACUGGAAACAGGGAGUGCCCAUGACACUUGGCGAAAUCCCAAAAAUAUUUGGCAAAGGCUUUGCCGAGUGUAACACUCGGCAAACAUCACACGGCAUCAUUUUGUCGGCAAACGUUUCUUUGCCGAGUAUUUUUUGUCAGGCACUCGACAAAGACUUUGCCGAGUGCUAAACUGGCUCUCGGCAAAAAAAAAGGUACGGGACAUGGAGAAGACGAUGACGACGGCUAUGCUGAGUGCCUAAUGGCAAAAACACUCGGCAAAGCAUGCCUCUUUGCCAAGUGCCAGAGGGGAAAAACAAUCGGAAAAGCGUGCCUCUUUGCCGAGUACCAAGUAAUUCAGCAAAAUCGACUCUGACUCCAACCUAUCACAUAGGGGGCGGUGGUGCCGGGAGGCCAUGCGCCGAAGGCGGGGCACCAGGCGCCGGGGGUCGUGCGCUAGGGGCCAGGAGGCCGGCCUUCGGGGGUGGGAGGACAAGUGCUUGGGGUUGGGAGGCCAGCUGCCGGGGGUGGGAGGGUGGGCGCCGAGGGGCAAAUGCCGGCAGCAGCGAGGGAGGCCGGCGGCGUGGCGUGUGUGUGAGAGAGAGUUUGGGUGCGUGCGUGUGUGGAAGUGAGGGAGUGGUUUUACUGGUGAUGACGUAUGUUUGCCGAGUAUUCUAGAUCUGGUGCUCGGUAAAGCCGGGUAUGCCGAGUGUCGGAUCGUAACACUCGGCAAACCUCGUUUCUUUUUCAUUUUCCUUCCUUCUUUUCCUUCUUUUCCGUAACAUGUUUUUCUAAAUUUGAUUCGAUGUACUUUAAAAAUACCUUGUCAAAUCAACAAUAUAUGUUUGAUUUUUCUACUAAUAUUAUUCUAUUAUUUUAUGCAGUUAUAGCUCAAAUUCUAUUUAUAUCAAUUAAAAUUCUGUAAUUGCACUUAAUAAAUUAAAAUUGUCAAACGGUUUAAAAAAUUACCAAAAUUUCACAUGAAAUAAUCUAUGUUCUCUAUUACCUAUACAAAAUGUUUUGAAGUCAAACUCCAAUUCGACCAUCACUUUGACUCCAAAUCUUACCGAAUCCUUCUCAAUGCUAUGAUUCUUCUUCGUAGAUGCUUCGAUUUGUAAACUUCGUACGUGAUAAAUUAUGCGAAACCUUCUCAAUUUUUCACCACAGCCUCCACGUAUGAUAUCAUCACAUCAUGACAAAUCUCAUGAUUUUCAGACUUCGUUUGCUUAUUUUAGAAUUUAAAAACCAUUCGGCUAUAAGUUCGUGAUUUCUGAACAAGAUGUUCGAAAUUUCUUUUCAUUUCCUGAGUAAGUUCAAAUUUGACUUAUACCAAAAAAAUUCCUUGAAAUGCAAUAAAUUAAUUAAAUAUAGCAAACAGAUACAUAAAUAUACCAAAUUUGUACAUGGAGUACUACAUGCUGUAUGUGAAGAGUAGAAAAAGUUUCAAGAUCAAAAUUGUUUAUUUGCCGAGUGUCGAGGGAAAACACUCGACAAACUUAUCACUUCGUCGAGUGAUGAGAGUAUGAUAUACUCGUGAAAGGAGUAAAAAAGAACAUAUAUUGUUAAUACACUCGCCGGCUGCAGGAGCCGGCGAAUCCUACGUUACGAUGACCCAAUAUUUUCUUAAUUCUCUGUCUUUGUUUACUCGUGUCAGGAAGUGGCUGCAGGCCCAUGGAUAUAAACUAGAGGCACCUUGGAAGGAGAUGGACGUGACAGCUUCCUAACCACAUUUUUAACAUUAUUUCAACACUUCAUGAUCGCAGACUAACUCAAAUGUUUGCUUGGAAUGAAGCAGCCAUGUCUGUUCCUCAAGGCUACUGCAAGUGAUCACUGAGUGAGUAGUGACAGUCUGCAAAAUCUGCAUUGCACGCAUACACUGAGCAAAUAGCGCCAUGGUGUUCGCGUUCGCCGCCGGUAAUGGCGUGGCGGCGGAGGUGCUGACGGCGCGGUUUGCCCGGCAGGUCCUGUGGGGGCGUUGGUUCACGCUGUUUGCGUGCCUGCUGAUCCUGUCGGCGUCGGGCGCGACGUACGCCUUCGGCAUCUACUCCCGUGCGAUCCGGAUGUCGCUGGGCUACGACCAGCGCGCCGUCGCCACGCUCGCCUUCUUCAAGGACCUCGGCAGCAACGUCGGCGUCCCCGCGGGGCUCCUCAACGAGGUGGCCCAACCGUGGGCCGUGCUCGCCGUCGGCGCCGCCAUGAACCUGGCGGGCUACCUCAUGGUCUACCUCUCCCUCGCCGGCCGCGUCGCGCGGCCCCCCGUCUGGCUUAUGUGCGCCUACGUCUGCGCCGGCGCUAACUCGCAGGCGUUCGCCGGCACGGGGGCGCUCGUUACCUGCGUCCGGAACUUCCCGGAGACACGCGGCGCCGUGCUCGGCCUGCUCAAGGGCUACGUGGGGCUCAGCAGCGCCAUCCUCGCGCAGGUCUACCUCGCCCUAUACGGCGGCGGCGACGCCAGGUCGCUCGUCCUGCUCAUCGCCUGGCUCCCCGCUGCCGUCUCCGUCGUGUUCCUCGGCACCGUCCGCGUCCUGCCUCCGCGCCGGCCGAGGCAGAAGGGCGGUGGCGGAGGAGGCGACGGCGUGUUCCUCUGCUUGCUCUACAUCUCCAUCGCGCUCGCGGCGUACAUCCUCAUCAUGAUCGUCGUGCAGAGGCAGGCCACUUUCUCGCGCGACGCCUACGCCGCGUCGGCCGCCGGGCUCCUCCUCCUCCUCUUCCUCCCCUUCGCCGUCGUCGUCAGGCAGGAGUACCGUAUCAAGAAGGAGCUCGAGGAGUCCCUACGAGCGGCGCCCACGACGGUGGUGACCGUCAUUGAUAAACCAGCCGCCUUGCCAGUGCCAGAGAUGCCGGCGAGCACAACCGACACACCGCCAUCGUCUUCCUGCCGCCGCUCCUUCCUGAGGCACACGUUCACCCCGCCGGCGCACGGCGAGGACUACUCCAUCCUGAAGGCGCUGGUGAGCGUGGACAUGCUGAUCUUAUUCGUGGCCAUCGCCUGCGGCGCCGGCGGCACACUGACAGCGAUCGACAACAUGGGUCAGAUCGGGCAGUCGCUGGGGUACCCUCCCAAGAGCGUCGACGCCUUCGUCUCCCUCAUCAGCGUCUGGAACUACGCCGGCCGCGUCGCCGCCGGGUACGCCUCCGAGGCGCUCCUCUCCCGGUACCGGUUCCCGCGGCCGCUCGCGCUCACGGCGGUGCUCGUCGCCUCCUGCGCCGGCCACCUCCUCAUCGCCGCCGGCGCGCCACGGGGCACGCUCUACGUGGCGUCGGUGCUCAUCGGCUUCUGCUUCGGCGCGCAGUGGCCACUGCUUUACGCCGUCAUCUCCGAGCUGUUCGGGCUCAAGCGCUACCCGACGCUCUACAACCUCGGCGCCGUCGCGAGCCCUGUCGGCGCCUACGUGCUUAACGUGCGCGUCGCCGGGAGGCUAUACGACGCCGAGGCGGCGAGGCAGCACGGCGGGGCGCUGCCCGGCGGCGGUGGGGACAAGACGUGCGUCGGCGUGGAGUGCUUCAGGAGGUCGUUCCUGAUCAUCACGGCCGCCACGGCAGCCGGCGCCAUCGUGUCGCUGGUGCUUGUGUGGAGGACGAGGGAGUUUUACAGGGGCGACAUUUAUGCCAAGUUCAGGGAUAAUGCGGCUGUAGGCGAGGAGUCACUGGGUGGUGGUGGCGUGGCGGCGGAGCAGCGUCCUGGUCGAGGAGGUGCUGGAGGUAGUGUCAACGGAGAGCAACGAGAUGGCUAGCUAGGUGCCUGAGUUGAUUUGGUCAAAAUUCAGUACCAUGCUCCGCCAAAUCCAGUUGACUUGGGCAAGGAGGUAAGUUUGGUUUUAUCGAGGUUGGCACACAGCUCAUUUUUAUAAUGAACUUGUACGAGUUUUAAAGCAAUAAAAUAGGGUAAAAAUAAACUGGCUAAUUAGACCCAUAAUAUUUUCGACGCAACCACACUUGCACCACAGCUUCCUUCUCUAUCACACACACUUCUUCUAUCACACCUAUCUUCUCUCUCAAACACACGCUCAUGGUCAGCACUUGCGUGCUCCUCCACCUCCCAUCGCCGACAUAUUUUCUCGCCAGAACAUUUCAUGCACUCCAACACCUUGAGGUGCUCUAAUACUCCACUAUGAAAAAACACAACAAAUAGUGUGUGAAAAAUUCAGCAAAAAUAUGGAUGAAUAGAGGAUGCAACGAUCUAUGUACAUGCAAAGUUUGAGGAUAAACAAAACUUUGUGCAAGGAGAAACAAAAAGGAGAAAAUUCGUAUGUAAUCUGGUUGGGUGCACUGUUCAUCUUGAUCCGCAACCUGCAUCUAUUCAUACACCGAUUUCUCAUUUUUAUUUCUCUGUGCACAAAAUUUUGUUCAUCCUCAAACUUUACAUGAACAUAGAUUGUCACAUCCACUAUUCAUCCAUAUUUUUCGCUGAGUUUUUUCGCACUAUUUGUUGUGUUUUUUAUGGAGUACGGGAGCACCUCAAAAAAUACUGAUUAUGAGUCCAUGUCUCUACCUUCAAUACUGAUCCUUUAUUCUCUCUCUCCCUUUAUUCUUUCCUUGAGCUGUGCCUUGUCUCGCUGUUAGCAGUUGCUAAUAGUGCACUGCUUUUAGUAAAGGGGAAAAAAAAUACUGAUUAUGAGUCUAUGUCUCUACCUUCAAUACUAAUCCUUUAUUCUCUCUCUCCCUUUGUUCUUUCCUUGAGCUGUGCCUUGUCUCGCUGUUAGCAGUUGUCUCUACCUUCAAAAACUAAUAGUGCACUGCUUUUAGUAAAGGGGAAAAAUACUGAUUCUGAGUCAUGUCUCUACCUUCAAUACUAAUCCUUUAUUCUCUCUCCCCCUUUUUUUUUCUUUCCUUGAGCUGUGCCUUGUCUCGCUGCGGACCACUGUUUUGGUUUCGAAUUUUUCUUGGAGGGCACUGCAAUUCGAUUAUGUUUAUUAAAGCAAUCCAUGCAGCGUUUGAGGUUUUGGACAAAAGAUUCUAAUUAUUGAGUUCAAAUUUACACAAAAUUUAAGUGGACAUAUUUAGAACUAAUCCCUAUUUGGAUAAAUCCAAUAUUAAUUUGGAGCCAAUUUUUCGUUUUAGGAAUGGAAAUCAAGCAAUUCAAAACUAGGACCAAAAUCUAUUUGGUUGGUUUGUUUGACCACCUAUGAGCACUACCCAAAGUGUUAGUCUAUCCUACUCCUGCUAACUAGAAAAGCCACAUAGAGUACACAACUGCGACCCGUAGCAGAAAAGGCCAUUACACAAUUUCUUCAAAUUAAAUUACUAAAAUUUAUUUCAUCUGAAAUAGUAAGAACUUCACACGAUACAAAAACAAAACUAAUUUUUUCCACACCAUUUAUAUCAAAAGGGACUGUCUAUAUGUCACACGGGUGAAACAGAGGCUUCCCUAACUCAAAAGUAUAAUGUCCUCCAUGCCGUAAAGAAGAAAUGGUAUAUGUCCUCCAUGUAAAAGGAAAGGUAUACUAUUCCUUCCUUCCUUGAGAAUAAUGUGGUUCUUCAGCGAAUGGAACCUCUUUGCGUCCUUUGUUCUUUCCUUGUGGUAUGCAUCCUAUAAGAACCGUUGCUGCACACGACGAGUUGCUAGUUCCUACCCGAGUAGCCUCACCAUCAUCGUCAUCAUCUUGUAAUGGAUUCUUCACUAAUGAAGGCCUUCCUUCUUCUCGCCGCGGUCACCGUCCACGCCCCGCUGUUGAUGGGGCUCAGCUCGCGGCGGCGCGGCAGCGGCCAUCCGGUGCUCCGCUUCUUCCUCUGGGGUGUGUCCGCCGCGCACACCCCACUGAUGUCCUAUGUCCUCUGGUUCUUGACCUCGUCCCUUUCCUCCAUGAAAGAAAGUGACGACCAAGACGAGGGGGGGCUGGGGACCGAGAUCUUCAUCAUGUAUAUAAUGCUUUCGGUUGUCCUCAUCCAGUUCCUCAAGGCCAAGACUGACAUGGCAGCUCUGGCCGUGGCCGCGGUCACCUCGCCCGUGGCCGGCGACGACAUCGAUAGCCUAAAGAUCCGGCCAUCCAUGGAGGGCGUCAUCAACGGGGUCUGGGUGGCAGGGCUCGUCAUCUACAGCAUCUUCCUCCACGCAAAGGGAGCCAUCAUCGGCACAGACUAUGGAUACAUGAUCAUGCUAAUUGUGCCACUAUGGGCUCUUGGUGGUUGCAGGAUGUUGCUCAGGUUCGCCGCCUACCGCACGGCGACGAGCUCCUUCGCUCUUGGACGCAGUGUGCAGCUCAUCAGUGGCUACAUGGCGUACCUCCAGCAAACCGGCUGCUUCGAAGCUGAAGGGCAGGUCCCCCGUCUGAUCGUGACGGGAGAAAGGAACCGGGACGUGGAAGAAAGCCCAACAGGGCACCGUGUCAAGCUUUCUGUUCUGGAUGAUAAGCGUAGUAGGCUGGUCACACUGGACCGAGUGUGGUUAGAGAGAGACCUGAGGCCGGAGCUCAAGGACCUCUGCCUCUCCUUCGCUCUCUUCAAGUGCCUGCGCCGGCGGUUCGCCGGGCACCGCCUCGCCGAGGCCGGCUCUACCUGGGCGUACCAUUUCUUCAGCGGCGGGCUGCUGGGCCGGCAGGACGACCACGAAAGGAUUUUCCGGGUCAUCGCCGGCGAGCUCUCAUUCGCAAGGGAUUUCUACUACUCCCCUCUCCCCAUGGCCUCUUUGGGCACUGUCUUCGCGGCUCUCCACUUCUUUCUGUCCUUGCUGGUCUCCGCUUACCUUGUCUUCCUGCCUCUCCUGCUGAUACUCUUGGGUUUGUUCCCAAUCUUUGGACUGCUUGCCCUUGUUGUUGCUGCGGCCAUAGUGGUCACCGAGAUCUCAGAGAUGGCCGCCGGCGUGCGCUCUAAGUGGACCAAGAUAAGCAUCAUCAGCCACUACAUGAGCUGCCGGAACCGUUGCGUCCGGAGAAUCUUCUCCUGUCUGCUAAGACGCAAUAAGUCCCCAAAGUAUUGGAAGGAUGAGAUUGGGCAGGCCGAACUGCUAAAGCCAAGCCAUUUCUGCGACCAGCCAUGGGCUCGCCUCUUCAAAAACCUCUUCAUCCGAAGGAAAACCCGUCACAAGCCCGUGAUCAAGGUUCCUCCAGAGGUGAAGGCCGCCGUCCUCGCCUCCUUCAGGAGCUGCGGUGGCCGGCUGAGCGGCGGCACCGCCACGCUGCGGCGCCGGUGCAUUGACGUUACCUGGGCGAGCCAAGGCGAUGAGAUCACAACGACCACCGACGUUCUCCUAGUGUGGCACAUCGCCACGAGCUUCUUUGAGAUCAGGUGGUCUGCUUCUUCUUCCUCCACACGCACAGCCAGCAUGGUGGUCGCCCAAAGCUUGUCGCGCUACUGUGCAUACCUGGUCGCAGAAGCUCCAGACCUGCUGCCAGACGACUCCGCUUGGACAAAGCGCCGCUACGAGGCGGUGAAGAAGGGCAUAGAGGAGGCGUCCAAGUCUAGCAAUGCUGUGCCAGAGUCAGGUGUGUAUGGACACCUGAUAGUUUCCUUCAGUGCUGAGAGUUGCCACGAUGUCCUGAACAAAGGCUCGAGGCUGGGAAAGCAGCUGGUGGAGGAGGCCGAAAGGCAGAGAUCAGGAGAAGGAGAUGCAGAAGAUGGAGCUGGUCAUGAAGAAGACACGGUGUGGGAGCUCCUUGCAGAGUUCUGGUCGGAGAUGGUGCUCUACCUUGCACCGUCCGACAACGUCAAGGUUCACAUCGAGGCCUUGCAGCGCGGCGGCGAGCUCAUGACGCUACUGUGGGCGCUGCUGGUGCACGCUGGCAUCACCGGUAGGCCAGCUCGCUGCGUCCCUGAGCCUUGAUAAACACGUGUAUAGUAUGUGCACUGCUAUAAUCUAGUCACCAUUAAAUAUAGGCCUUGUUUAGUUGGCCAAAUUGGGAGGUGCCAAAUUACUGUGCUGGCACUGUAGCACACUGUAGCGUUUCGUUUGUAUUUGUGAAAUAUUGUCCAAACAUUGACUAAUUAGGCUCAAAAGAUUCAUCUCGCAAAGUACAACAAAACUGUGCAAUUAGUUUUUAAUUUCAUCUACAUUUAGUACUCCAUGCAUGUACUGCAAGUUUGAUGUGAUGGGAAAUCUUCUUUUUGCAUAGUGCCAAAGUUGGGAGUUGGGGGUGAAGUAAACAAGGGCAUAGUGUGUUGGUUUUCCUCCUUAAUUAGCUAAGUUUUUUGUUUUAUGCUUCAGCUCCACACUAUUUUAAUUUUUAAAUUAGUUUGAAUGCAAACUAAUAAUUGACUAUCUAUCUUAGCAAUUGUCUGCGCUUGAUUUUAAAAAUAUAGUGAGAAGCUUUUUCCUCCUGAGAGACGCCCCGAGGCGACCGAUACCUCCUUCGAUACGCCCGCUGAUUCGACCCAAUGGGUCCAAGUAAGUAACUUUAGAUGUUAUCACUAAUUUUUCAUUUGAUAUGUUCAAAAUUACAACAGAAACUAAUAAUUUAUCUUAAUCACUUAGGCAGGGGUUGGAGGAAGGUUGGUGGGGGUGAUCACGCACGCCAUGUGAACGGCAUCCUUGUUCUUUUGAUUAGGCAAAUGUUCCCUGGCCUGGUGCAGUUCGGCGGCACUAUCGAGCCGGCCUACACGUGGGCCCACUACACCGCCAUCCCCAGCGCCCUUGAUCGAGAUGGUAGGGUAUUCGCCAACAUGACGCAGCGUGUCAAGGCCGAGCUUUGGGUAAGUCUUUUCUCGCACUACAUUGCUCAAUACAUCACAUUGAUUGGACAUUCGUGAAAUAAUGACCGGAUACAUCGCAUCUAUAUGCAGGACUUCUUUAGAUGCGAGGAGGGAUACGAGGCUAAAGCGGAUGAUGUGGCUGACAAAGCCGCCAAGAAACUCGUCAACAACAUGCGGUACGAGGCGCGCGUCCAAGCCGUUGUCCAAUACCACGCAGAUAUCCUUAGAGUGAGGGUCCCUAAAAGUGAGGCAAGAACCAUGAAGCUAACCCUGGAACAAUACAUGCGGGUAAAAGUGAGGCACAUGGUGGCGAGCCUUGCUCCCAGUUCAAGGCAUAUGCUUUGGCCCACAAGGGCAAGGCAACGACCGACAUCGCCUACAACCCGAAGGACCCGCCCUCGGCGUACAGCAACGCGACUGUCCACAGCCGCCUCGAUGGAUACACAUCGAUGGCAAGGAAGGUCCAUGGCCCAAAGUACCAUCCGAGUGCCCAUGACCUUGAUGGAGAAGUGGUCAUGAGGGCGGGAGGAGGCAAGAAGCAUGGCCGGUUCUAGAUUGGUGACGACACAAUCGAUACGGCCAGUACUCCCACUCUCUCCCAGCUUUGAGCAUGGAGCAUGAGUUCCAGCCCAGCGAUAUGCCCAUGGCUGAACUCUACACGGUUCCAGAUGGAGGCACUCUAGGUUAUUUCCAUUUUAUUCAUCGUUCAUUGAUUUUUACAUACUUUUGUAUUGCAUUGUAACAUUGGGAUGAAAUAUUGUAGGCCUAGCUGGAAGAGGAAAGGAGGCUACGGGAGGAGCUAGCGGCAACGAUGGAGGCAGAGCGGUAGAGGAUGGAUGCUGAGCGUCUCCAGAUGUUUGAAAUGGUGCGGGAGUGUUUACACUGCAAUUGGUCAAACUCCGCCACCGAUGCCAGUCCCUCCUCCUCAACCUGCUCCAAAUACUGUUUCUGGCACUGUGAGUCACUUCACAACCUUAUAAUCACUAGCUAGUACUCUAUUAGUAGUCUUGAUAAAAUGGGUUCUAGUUGUAUUUGAGUUGAGUGAUGACUAAGGUCCACACUACACUUGCUUCUGGCUUGAUAAACAGAAACUAAAUAUGAUUUUUAUAAAGAUGAAAUAAUAUUUUCCAAAUAUAUUUUGUAGUGGUUUUCCUGUUAAACAAUUUUCAAUAUUCCUAGACCAUUUCUUUCUUUCAUAGUUUGUAACAAAUUUAAAUUUUGUAAGGGUAUUUUUUAUAUGAAUCUGGAACAACAUUUUUAGUAAUGGUUUGUCAUGGACUUCUUACUGUCGCAUGGACCCAUGAGCCUAAAAGAGGUGACACAAACUAUAAAAUCCUGGUGGAGCAUAUAGUUGCAACUCAUGGUAGAACCAAGCCAUUACAAAAUUUCAACUUAAAAAUCAUUUCAUAUGAAACAAUACAAAUUUCACACAAUACAAAAAACACAAAUUAAUUUGGUCAUACAAAGUAUAUAUGAAAAAGGCAAAGAACUACAGAAUUACAGGCAGUGUUGGUUGCAGGCGUGGAACAGCACAACGUUCUCGUCCUAGUAGCAGAAGAUCACAUCAGAGACACCAUCUUUCUCCUGCUUCCACGUCACAUCAACCAUCAGCAUCCCGCCAUUUCCCCAUUCAAAUUCAGCCUCACAGCCAUCCACCAAGCUCCUCCUUGGCUUCACAUCAGAAUGUACCAGCAGCCUCCCCGCCCCCUUCACCUUCAUUCUCACCUCACCACCACUGCCAUACUCCACAUCGACGAUGGCGCCGCCACAGUUCAGUAAGUUAACCAGCCCAAUGGGCGCAAACCGCACUUUGGUGGCACCGCCGAUGGUCGUGACCGGAGCAAAUGUGAAGAGCUCAAAGGAUGAUGGCUGGAGGGUGAACUGGAUGGGCUCUGAAUGUGGCGUCAUCAGUAGAAGUUCUUCGGUUUGGCAUCGGUAGACUGCAUACGAUGAGGCGUUGGCCAUGGAAGAUGUGUCUUCCCUCUGGGUCCACUCAACGUCCGCAGGCCGGACUUCGCCGGAGACUGGCUUGUAGCAGUGCGAGUAGCCUCGGACACGGUGCUCCGCCGGAUCCCAACCUGCGCCCUGGCAAUUGAAGGCCCCAAUGACCCCUCCAAACUGCAAAAUUGGACAGGUUCAGGUUCAGACUUAAGAUAGAACUACUUGUCAGGAACAUUAAUUCAAGAACUUAAGUUCCAAAUCUGCAAAUAUCUUGAACUAAUAUGUUGCCAAUGCAAAAGAGCAAAAACAAACUGCAAGAAACUGAGCCGCUGACCUUGUUCAGGUUCCAAAUCUUGAGGACAGUUUGUUGAUCGAAGAGUGGAUUCUUGAAAAGGCAGUCUCUUGUCGGGAGAGCAUAGUGCAGGCACCUGGGCACGGUGCCAUCAGGGAAGACGAGCCUCCUUAGCAGCUCGAAGUCAUGGCCGCCGAGGGAGUCGCUGACGUACACAGGGCCACCGCAGAUGGCCCGUGACGCGGCGUGGAAGGCGGCGCAGGCGUGAUCGGACUGGAACAUGUCCCAGUCCGGGCGGAUGAACUGGCCCAUCCACAAGCUGUUGUAGGCGCAGUUCACCAUGUGAGCUCCCUGCAGCCAGUAGACGCCCAUGGGAUCGCCAUUGGGGUCCUCGAACCAGAAGUCGUCGCCGGCGCGGCCCAUGGGAACCUGCCGCGUCCCGAGGAAGAAGAAGUCGUUGCACUGCUGCAUGCUGGCGAUGAUGCCCGUGCCAUUGAAGUUCUUGGCGAUGGACUUGGAGAGGCCGUCGUAGUAGGCCUUGGCGAGCUCGACGCGCCCGCCGUGGUCCUCGCAGACGUACUCGAGGGUGUGCACGACGUCGACCUUGACGCCGGUGACGCCGGCGCCUGCGAGGUAGGAGUGCAUGGACUCGUAGAGGUCACCAGCAUGGUCGGGGCGCACGAGCCCGAUCCCGCCCUCGACGAUGCGGUCCACGGCGAGGUCGUCCAUGGUGCCCGCCAGCCCCGGCGACGGCCGUGCCUUGACGACGCGCGCGUCCAGCGCCGUCGCGCCGGGUCGCACCCCGCCCCACCCGCCGCACAGCGCCUGCCACACGUACACAUCGUCCAGCGCCGGGAACCGCCGCCGCAUGUCCUUGAGGAACGCCUUUAGCCCCACCUCGCCGCCGUCGCCGGCGCCGGCAGCGCCGUCGUCGUCGCAGAGCUUCGAGAGAACGGCGUCCCGCUUCGCUAGCAGCUGGUCGAGCUCGCACCGGAGCUCCGCGAUCUUGGAGUCGAAGCUCGACAAGUCGGCGGCGGCGCCACCGGCCUGCGCCGCCUUCUUCUUCGCCUUCCCGGCGUUCUCGAUCUCAGCGGCCUUGCGCACGACGGCCUUGGGCAUGCUCCUGUCGUAGAAGAGCUCCGGCGGGCGGCGUAUCAGGGCGCCCUCCCUGUACGCGCGGAAGCGCGCGCACUCGUCGAAGCGGUAGAGGCGCGCGGUCAUUUGGUCGCCGCCAAGCACGAGCCCCGGCGCGUCCUUGUGCGGCGGGUCCUCGUCGCGGUUUACGCUCUGCCAUCCGUCGUCGAUGAUGAGGAAACGCGGCGGUAGGCCUGCGCCGGCGAGCUCCGACACGCCCUGCCACACGCCCGCCGGGUCGACGGUGAGGUAGAAGGCGUCCCACGUGCACCACCCGAACCGGUCCGCCAUCGCCGGCAACGCCUUCUCCUGUAUCAACCUGAACGUGCCGAGGUGCACCCUGGCGGCAAGGUAGGCUUCCUGCAUGAGCUUGUAAGGGUCGUCGCCGGCGUGCACGUAGGCGAUGCGGCGGAAGUCGGUGCCAGUCACGGCGGUAGACCCACUCUCGGCGCAGAUGACGACGCCGUCGUCGUCGUCGUCGUCACCGGGGAAGAUGGCGGACCGGAAGCUGCCCUGCACGAGCGGGAGCACGAGGACGUACCCGGCGCCGGCGUCGGCGAGCUCGGGCACCUCGAGGAGCACCCACUGCGUCUCCAUCUGCAGGUCCCGGCCGCGGCGCCCCGCCCACGCCGUACUCCACCACGUCUUGAACCGGAACACGCUCAGGAACCUCCUCGGGCCCGGCAGACACCCCACGCGGCACGGCGCGCGGUCGGUGGCCGCCGGUGCCGUGAAGCCCAGGAACGCGCCGCGGCGGGCGUUCGCCGCGGCCUGCCUGACCAGCUCCGGCGGCGCGUCCGACGAAUUGGGGUCGAAGGCCUCGGCGAACGGGGUGAGCGUGACGUUCCCCGGCACGCCCGUGAGGAGCGCGGCCUCCUGCUUGCCGCCACCGACUGUGAGCUCGCCGUCCUUCAGCGAGAAGAGGCACGGCGCGGACGACGCCGGGCCGGGCUUGGCCGCCACGGCGGCGACCUUGGGCGUGGGCUUCGGCUCGUUAUUAGGCGGCGCCAUUGGCAAUAGAAGACUGUAAUGUGUUCAGAGAAGAAGAUUCAGGCUAUGCCAAGAAGAAGGUAGUAGGCUGAUGUGCUAGCUGACCAAGCUCCUGGAGGUGUCCGAGCCGAUGAGGACAAGGUGAGCAAGCGUGCUCCAUGGCGAUAUAUAGGCACGGGACGCCGGAGGAAGAAGACGCCAGCAGCCUCCCUUUUAGGAAGGAUCUGGAGCGUGAUGACGUCGCGACAGGUGACAGGAGCUUCUGUUGUAGAGCACUUUUGCAUUGCUUUUGCGUCUCUGGAAGAGAAGACGGCUCGCAACGGAAUGGAAUGUGACUGUACUAUUUGAUUGCACGAACGAUUCAGCAGAAAAGUUUUUCAGAUCAGGGAGAGGUUGAGACGGGCAAAUGAGAGCUCGAUGUGUGUUCGUCACCGUGUCGAGCUCAUCAGGAUGGACGGAGCAGCGUGGUCGGCGGCGGCGUCGGCGUGGACGGAAAGCGGCAUGUCCUGUCAGCUGCUUCUCCCGUGUCCCUGCAGCAUUGGUUGCAGAUCUGUCUCGUUGCGAAGAUGGCGACGAAGAGAAAUGCUGUGUACGUGUGGACAAAUCUGAUGAUGGAAACCUAGUAAUUCUCGUCGUCCACAAGAUUUCUGAAUCCUCAUCUUCGGACAUCGGGUAAAAUUUGAAUUUCGCUGUGCUUUUGGUUCGCCGGAUUCGUAGGCAACUCUGUUCUGAAUUGACACCGGGAUUUCGUUCUGAUGCAUGAUGAUGCAUCUAGAGCCAUCCUCUAGGGCGAAAUAUUCGAGCUGAAAUAAUGCAUUUCAUUUGCUGAUGCUUGACCUGUCACAGGCAUCUAGAACCUACAGUCCUGCACAGCAUGGGCCCUCUACUCACAAUGCGAGUGUGCACUGGCGUGUCAUCCCUGGAACACAUUUCGUGGACCCCCAUUUCCAUCUAUCUUUCAACAUUUUCUUGCCAACUUUUUGUCUCUGAACAUUGACCUUGAGCAGUAUUUGUUGCCGAAUCACAGUGGAACCAUGCACCAUCUUGCUGCUGCGGAUUCAGUGAGGGCCCAGGAAUGCUGAUCCAAUAGUCGUGUGCGUCAUUUUUAUUUUUUAAGUGAUCAUGCUCAUUUUCAUUGUAACAAAGUUCUUUUCUACAAACGGACAAGUAGGAGAUCGAUCUACUACUACCUAUUAUAUUGAAAAGGGCAUUGUAACAAAGUAUAUUUUUGAACAAGUAGGAGAUAUAUGAUUCAUGUAUCUAUUAUGUUUAGGAAGAGUAGUUAAGCCUAGAUGGCCAUUGUAACGGUACUAAUCUCUGCGUUACAAAAAUGUAAGACGUUUUAACUUUUUUCCUAAGUGAAAUUUAGAACUCUAAUUUUAACGAAGUUUAUAUAAAGAGCAUAUUAACAACUACAAAGCUAUGACUAGCAUCGUUCCAUUCCUGGUAAGGGGAUGAAAACUCGAGAACCAACUAGAUAUCUUUUUCAUAAAGAGCAAAUCCAAGCUACCACUGCACUACUCGAGUUCUCAUUUCGCAAUGAAAAAGCCCUUUUAGAAGAAAUUUAGAAAAAAAAAGUUCACCAGGGUAUUUAAUUAAGUGAACUUUGUAGUUGUGGUAUGAAACAGCAUAAACCAAUAAAAACUUUCACCCAGUGCAUCUACAUCCAUCUUACAGAGCUGAAGAAUAAUGGCUCUGAACCUCCACCAUGAAAUAUUUAAAUCCCAAAUAAUUUGGGAUUUGCAGCUGCUCCUUUAGUAGUGAGUUGAUCCUGUCAUCAUCAGGAGGAGGAUCUAGAACGUACAUGCACGCAGCAUCAGCAUGGGGCCUCUAAACUCUGCAAUGUGCACUGCCGUCUCCUGCCUGCAUACACACACCAUCAUGGACCCCAACUCACCUACAAUUGCAACUUUUUUAGCCAACCUUUGCUGCUGAAUUUCGUGAUCCGUUUUCUGAAGGUAGGCCAGGCCAUGGGUAGCAACUAACAUUUGGGCUGCCUGAAUUUUAAAAAAAUUGAUCGGUUGGUUGGUUGGUUACUGAACCACAGGGGAACCGCGCAGCAUUUUAAUGGUAGGAUAAUGCAGGAGGUCGAAGGAGCUGGAGCUGACAGUGACCACCCAUUUGGCUCCCAGCUUCAGAAAAUGCCAGUCCCUGAGACAAGCGGUUGCUCUGAUUGGUGCAGAGAUUUCACAAGUAACAAACAACUCUAUGAUUUGCAUUCCCACAAAAGAGUGUAGUCUCAACAACAUAAUUACUCUAUGAAAAGGUGAGAUUAAGGGUGCAGUUUCUUAGUGCAGCUCGAUCAUAUUCCUGAAGGCUCCAGACUUGUCUGCAAACUGCAAACCAUGUUGCAGAUAGUCUUGGCCAUUAUGUUCUACGUCAAACAUCAAGCGAAAGACAUUGAAGAAAAAGUGUGUUCUCGAAAGAACGUACAUGGCGUGAUUUGAAGUUAAAUUUCUUUUAAGUGGGGCCAUGCAUCCACUGAGUACGAACUUAGGAGAAGGCUUAAUGAACGCACUACCUGGAUAGUAGCUUUGCUAAUAAAGAAAGGCACUAAGUACUAACUGAUCCCAGUUCUUGCGAGCUCGUUGGUAUCCUCUUUUUGCAACUUUAAUUUACUUUAGUGAUGAUCACUUUUAUUUACAAUUUUACAGUGGGAGGCAGACUCCAGAUCCGACAUACAAUAGACUCUUCUAAAGUUCGAAAGCUUUAUUCCAUGCUUUCGAACCGGGUUUUUUCAGAAGAACCCCGUCGAAAACCCGCAAAAAUUGUAAGUUUGUUUAGUAAGAGCUAAAUCUUUUGUAAUUCAUGUUAGGUGCAUCUUAUCAUAUACUAUUACUAAUUUGAGUGGUGGCAUAUAAGGGACUUUCUUUGGUUUUAUUUGUAGUCAUGUGAUAAAAUUAUUUGCACUCGAUGGUAUAUGAGUGCGUAUGCACGUUCUCCACUUGUACUAAUAAUUGAAGUAAAACGCAUACUUGAGAUUGAGAAUGGAGACAUCAAAUCGUAAAUACUUAUGCAAAAGAAAAAAAUAAAAAUAAAAAUUAUACCUGAACUCAUGGGCCGCGCCGACUGGACGCUGGUCUGUAUCUCGGCUGACCAUCAAGUGUCUUGCUGGGCUGGCAGGUCUGUUCUUCUUCCCGCCUACUCUCUUAAAUUCGUUAUAGGCCUGCUGGGCUGACAAGAUCAAUGGGCACGGAUCAAUGUGCCCGGCCCAUUAGGUUUUUCUGAAACUCAAGUGCUAAAUAAAAGCCCUAUAGGUGCUACUGUGCUACCACUCAUAAUAUGCACCUCUAAAAAUGUACUUAAAUUUCCAACAAAAAUACGAAUGGAUUGAACUCGCAAUCAUCUAAAUUUGAGCUUGCACGAAAAUUUCUAUGAGGGAAAAAAACAAAUCAGCAUAUGAAUAGUUGUGUGUUCUGUUUUUCAUAUUCCCACUUGCAUUUUUAUUUAGCCCUAAUCCACAGGUUUUGAUGGAUUUACCGGGAUUUCAAGAUUUCGUAAUGAAAGGAAGCACUACUCAAAUUUAGAUGAUUUUUUGUUCAUCCAACAAGCUUUUGCUUCCCAGACCGGAGAAUAUGAUAGCACAAAAAAUGAACUGGCCAUCAUCUUUUCAGGAUGACAAAAACACAUAACUUAAGUUCAAUUUUACUUCUUUCUAUCUUCUUGCAGGUUGUUGUUUGAGUUAGUCGCUUUGUAGGAUGCUUGACGAGAGCAUACGUACUCUGAUCGUCUAAUCGUAAUAACAAAAAAGAAAUAUUCGUGACUAUUUCACAAUAUUCUUUUUUUUCUGUACGAACAGGCACGAGAAUGUGCCUUUUCACAAUAUUCUAAAUCUUUAGAACAUUGAGCCACUGUAUAUAUGUAUAGGCAAAUCUACCAUGGUGGUGACUUUUUGGAAUAUGCGCAGAAACAAUCUACAUAGCUUGAAUAACAGCGGCAGUAAUACAUACUGCACAUUGCGGUGCCGAUGUUCACAAAUGAGAGGCCGUGCCGAUGUUCACAAAUGAGAGGUUGUACAGCGCGUUACUUCAAGUAUCCAAGCACUUCGUUGAAAAAGAAAGAGCAAAGUCAUGAAACAUUCUAUACGCUGUCUUCAUUUCCUUAAGGUAGGCUUUCUCUGUUGGCUGGCUUCUUAUCAUUCUUGCACACACGAACGUCUUUAUUAUACUAUAUAGUGUGUAUAUAUAUCCUCUUCGUUUUCUGAAUCUUAGUGGUGCCUGUGGUGAUGAAAACAUUCACCGUAGGUUUCGCAUCGCCAUCACGUAUUGUCUCCUUUGGCUUUCCCUUCACGUUGUGGUGGAUCUCCUUCACCUUCUUAUCAUUCGCUGCACCACUACCAUUUCUGUGCUUGUUGUCAUACUUCAGAUGCUUGUUGUCAUACUUGGUAUCACUCUUGUGCUCCUUCGUCAGAUGCUUGCUGCCAUACUUGGUAUCACUCUUGUGGUCCUUCGUCAGAUGCUUGUCACUGCUGGUACCGACCUGCUUGUUCGGCCUAGCGGCGGACCUUGCAGGACAAAGUUGGGGUUAGGUUGGAGCAGAAAACCUAGCUGGUAACGAAGCAAGCGACAUAACAAAAAGCAUAAACCAUGCACCAACCAAAAUUUAGAAAAGAGUAAAUUUUAUAAAACUAUAUAUGAUAUGGCUCUAGGAGCUGUGUAUUCACUGGUCGUACAUCAGGAUAUCGAUAAGCAAGGUCUAUAAGGUGAAACUCUGACCAGCAAUUUCUAUGAAAAAUAUGAUAUUUUAACUGAAAGCAAUAAAAGUAAUAAAAUGUUAUGAAAAGAUAGUCUUUCACCAUGAAUAGUGUAACAACAACAACCUUGUAUUUUCAGUCCACGUGAUUUUCAUCAGUAGAUGCCUGCUAUUCGGCAUCCUGAGCUAGCCAUGAUCAGUGGAUAGCAAGCGGAGGAAGAGGAGGAUGAGAAAUGAAGCAAAGUAUGUACCUGCCGCCGGUGUCUUUGUAACCGCCGGCACAGUCUGAUUUCGAAUAUUGCAGCUAUUAAUAUGCACUAUCCGUCCUGCAGUCACGGACAGAUUUCCAAUAUUGCAGCUAUUAAGCGCUAUCGUUAAGCUCUAUUAGCCCCGUCAAGUUCAUACUUUCGGUACCUUCGGCUCGCAUCCCUGUAGUGUACCAUGGCGUGAUGACAAUUGGACGAGUUUAUCCAUGGCAGUGGUGGAGGGAGGUGCCAGAGCUAGGGGAGGCGGUGGCAGCGGGGGAGUUGGCCGGAGUUGGAGACUCGGGCAGGGGCUGGGCGGAGGCGCUGGGACUAGCGCCGGAGCCGGGGGAGACUGGAGACAUCAAAUCGUAAAUACGUGUGCAAAAAAAAAAGACAGGAAGAAAAUUCGGUGAAUCUUCAUGGGCCGCGCCCGCCGACUGGAAUGUGGGCUGACCAAGUGUCUGUCUGGGCUGGCAGGCCUCUUUUCCUUCCCCGCCCUCUCUCUUAAAUUCGCUAUAGGCCUGCUGGGCUGACCGGGUCAAUGGGCACGGAUCAAUCUGCCGUCUUGCCGCCCGCCGACGCCCUCGCUCGCCGCACUGGAGCCACACAUUCCACGAACCACGGAAAGGCGGCGGCGGAGCGGAGGUGCCGGCCAGUGGGGCUCUCCUCGGAAUCGCCCGUCCUCUCGUCCGCGGAGCGAAGGCGCCGGCGUCGGCACGGCGCCGGCAGGAUAGAGUGGGACUUGCUUGUCGCAAUGCCUCGCCCAGUCAGGCGUUGACCUCUCACGCGGUGGUCCUCGUCGGAAACGGACAAGAGGGGCGAGCUUUUGUCGGGAGCUUCUGAACAAUCUGGGAUGGCGUUCGCCCGUUUCUGCGACGGGUGCAAUACAAGGUCUUAUCCAAAUGUUUUUGUACUGCGUAUAUGCAGGCAAGGGCAAGGUGUUCGUGGAAAUGUCACGCAGCACUGGUUCAGAAAGCCAAUGUCACGAAGCAAGGACCAUGGGCUAAAAGCUUCCGGUUCAUGCAGAAUCAGCUAGAGCUCCAUCCAAUAUUCAUGCGGAAUCUCUCUCGUUAAGGUAAGAAUCACGAAUAUGAUGCAGUAUCCCACUCUGAUUCUGAUCCCUUUUUCUUAGACCACUCUGAUUCUGAUCCCUUGUUUGUCAUCGUUUAGUUUCUAAUAACUACCAAAAUGUCACCAUCAUAGUUGCAACUUGCAACAGUCUUAACCGCAGCGACUUCCAAGAGUGUAUUAUUAGCUGCUAUCCCUUCCUUGUGUCUAUGACAGGUGUAUGUACACUUUCAGCCUUCAUGGUUUGUUCCAGAUGCAAACCAAAUUCUCUCUCAUCCUGCAGUUUUUUUGGUAGGUUCCGGUGGUUCGUGGCGGCGGUGGUGUUCAUUUGCAUGCGUGCAAGCAAGCGAAUGUGUUCAUGGAAAUGACCCGAUCCCUUGGUUUAGAAUGGAAAUAUCGCGCAGCAAGGAUCACGCUACAAAGGCUUCCUGUGCAUGCAAUCGGUGAGGCUCCAUCCAACAUGUAAGAGGCUCAAAGACACAGCCUUUCAACUGUCAAACAUCUGCAUUGCAUUUCCCCCUUGCUUGUAAGAAAAUCAGGUACACCAUCACUUUUGAUUAGUCAAAAAAUAAAAGCGUACACUAUCACUUUCAAGUGCAGUAUCAGUCUCACUCCCACAAUUAAUAUAUAUGUAUAUAUAUAUAUAUAUCCAUGGUUUAUAUUAGUUCCAAAAAGGUCAACAUCAUAGACUUGGAAGUCUUCCGUAUCUAUGUAACUGUAUUACUCCUUGUGAACAACUGCUACGCGUGUAUGAGCGCUCCCCCUUGGCCAUGACUAGUUUGUCUGUCAACAUUGCUUCUCCGUCUUUUACAGGACUAGUCUGCCAUCAGAUGAUGGGUGUUACAAUCUACCUUGCUCUCUAUGAGCUUGUUUCAUCCGCUUAGCAUGCUGAAGAUAGCUUGUUUCACAAAGAGUGCUCUUGUUCUACUUGGGUGAAGGAUCUGUAACAAAGCAGUCUGGUGUGGCCAUAGUCCUGGAAGCAAGCAGCCCAGCAGACAGAAGAUGGACAUCACGAAGCUUGCAGGGGUUGAUGCAAUCAAGCUUGUCGUCAUGAUUGUGCAGGCAUCUCAGACUGUUCGCCAUAACAAGAAGACCUGCCAGCAGCUUGUUCAGCAUGUGCAAAUAAUUGGUGACCUGCUGAAAAAGUUGCAGGCUUCAGAGAUGAUGCAACAACCAGAGAUCAGGAACGGAUUGAGUGAGCUCAAGCAGAUCCUACGUGAAGCGUACAUGCUUGUCACGUCCUGCCAAAACAACAACUAUGUGUACCACCUUUUCAUGGCUGCGAAGCAGGCAGAUCAGUUCCGAGUUCUGCAGAAUAGAUUGAACUCUUGUCUCCAAGUUUUCCCACUCAUCAGCCACAUCGACACCACAGAUCGCCUGGACCAAAUUCUUGAAAUCAUACGGCCUCAGCAUUCGCAGGUAUGGUAAUUGGUAGGCUAUGAAGUAUUUUUUUUUAUAAUUGGAUCAAUCAUCAUUAGUGACUGAAAUAGACUGAUUAGUUUGUUCCAUGAAGGUUUUGUGUGUUGUGUCCACAACAAGGAUGAAGCAUCUUAAAUUGCCAUGAGUUAAUAAAAAAGAAGCAUCGUAUACAUGCCAUGCGCUAGCAUGGAGACAAUAAAAGCUUCUUUAGGCCGUUCUUCGCCCAAACUAUGCUUGAGAAAUAAUUGAAACUUGAAUACCAUGUAUCUGAUUGGCUCCAUCCUUACUCUUCAUCCCUAAAGAAAAAAACCUGAUAGUCUUUAUCAUUCCUCUUCAUCUCCUUUCAUGCAUACACACUUCUAGGAAACCAAUGCACAACUCUGAGAUAUAAGAAAAGAGAGAAUAUGCGAAACAAAGUGCAUGUGGGAGAAUACAAAUUUGUAUAAAAUGGCGUGAAAUCACAUUAUUUACAUGGUAAUUAAUUCUUUCUCAUAUAUGUAAGCUUCCAAUGAUGCAUCGUGCAAUACUCUACAAGAACUUGACUUAUCCAUGUCAAAACUAUUUACUUUGAGAAACAUCUUUCCAGUUUAUUAGUAACCAGACAUCUAUUUUUGUUAUUUCAGGCUGUAAAAGAGGUGCCAAGACUGUUUACAGGUUGCUCAUCCUGUGACACCAGGUUAGAUAAGUGCAACACAUUUAACUCUUACAUAUAUCAUACAUCGAUCGUAUGAAUGGAAAGUGCAUUAAUAUAAAUACAUCAGUAAGCAGAGGCAGUGCAAAGGUACAUAAACUACAAAAAAUGAGUCAAAGUGGAUUGUCCCGCACUAGCACUUCCACGUGAUAAUUCCACUAAAGGAGAUCCAAUUACCGGAAUUGCUUCAGGUACACCUGUCACAAUUUUGAAUGCCCAUUAACCAAUUUGAUCCCAAGGCAAAGAAUGACCUUCCUUUUUCUGCAUAUUUCUAUAAAAAUGAUGGAAGACUGGCUCACAACAAGAUUUCUUGAAUUCAGUUUCGAAUUUUAUUAAUCAGCUUUCUACUUCAAGGAGAUAUUUUGGUGAAUAGACCAUGCAAACAAUAUAAAAUUCCCAACUUUUUCCUAAAUCAAAAGAUUAUUUUUUUCCUUACUUCAAUGACAGGACUGAAGUAUAUGGUGAAGUUAAAAAGCGCCCUCUCCAAUUGAAUUGUGCUGGUAUGUCCUGUUAAAUAGUAAUACAAUUGUCAGCAACCAGAGCAGUAUUUUGAAGGAAACAAUAGUAGGGUUUAGGAGUGCCAAAUAUAUUGAUCUCGUUGGUCUCCAAAAAAAGGAUUGACCUCGAUAUCUUUUCAUUUCAUAACAGAGCCACUCAAGUUCAGUUUAACCCAGUUGGUUGAUGCUACAAACAAAUUCUCCGAUCAGAAUCAAAUUGGACAAGGUAGCUUUGGUUGUGUUUACAAGGUAUUUCAUCCCCCUCACCACCCCCAAGAAGAUGACGCCAUAUAUUGACCAAAGGUUGUCUAGAAUAUGUAAUCUAAAUUUAUAUAAAUAGCAUUAGUGUUUUUAAGAAGAUUUUCUUUCAUCUGCAUGUUUUACAAGAGUGGUAUAUAAAAAUCUAACAACACGGACUUUGAAAAGUAAAAAAAAAACCUUUAAUCAAUGGAUAUGCUUCCUCGCAAAGUUUGGCUUGACUUUGAUACACCUUUCCCUCUGCUUUUCAUGUGCUUUAUGUAAUCUUAUAUUCCAUUUUAUGCCGUGCCAAUUAACAAGAAGAUUGAGAAGUCUAGCUAUCAAAUAGCACUGUAAUACUGGAAGAUUAAAAACUCCAUUGUCAUGUUACUCAUAUAAUCGAACUCUUUAUUAGUACCCAAAUUAGUUUGUUCAAAUAAAUUGAUCUUCAUUUGAAUAUUUGUUUGCAUUCAGGGUCAACUGCAUGAUGGACUUGUGGUUGCUGUCAAAAGAUGUUUUCAUUUACCUUCUUCACCUAAUCAACUGGAUGUCCAAGAUUUGGAGUUUCAAAAUGAGAUUUACUUUCUUACGAAGCUUCAGCAUAUCAAUAUAGUUAAGCUUCUUGGCAACUGUAUGCAGGAAAGUCAGAGGAUCUUGGUCUAUGAGUAUAUGGCGAAUGGAAGCCUCGAUAACUUUAUAUCUGGCACGUGCUCACUAUUUAUUACUUCACCUCAGGUUUAGACAAUAUUUAUGUUCUUAUUUAGUUAGCCUAUUAAUUUUAGCAUUCCUGCAGGUACUGGAACAGGAAGGUUGUUUCUGGACUGGCCUGCACGCUCUCGGAUAAUGAAAGGGGUAGCUGAGGGAUUGCUUUACCUUCAUAAGCAUUGUGGACUGCAUGUUAUACAUGGAGAUUUAAAGCCAAGCAACAUUCUCUUGGACUUGAACUUGCAUCCCAAGAUUUCUGAUUUUGGCUUGGCGAGAACAUAUAGUCCAGGUGUAGAGGAAGAGUUUGCCGACCGCAUAGUAGGAUCAAUGUAAGAUAAGAUCCUAUCAGAUUGAUAUCAUGGUUGUGACACCACAGCAGGCUCUUUCUUCUUUCUAAUUGCUUGAGCGCUUACAUUUUGUUUGCAUGUUUUAGUGGUUUCACCGCUCCAGAAUGUAGGGAAAGACGUAUUUUCUCAAUCAAAUCAGAUGUGUAUGGCUUCGGAGCAUUGCUUCUCGAGAUAGUAAGUGGACGCAGAUGCUUUUCACUUGCAAGUGGAGAAUCUGGAGAUGAUCAUGGAUUUCUGAAUAGGAAGGUGAGUAGCACUUUCAAAACUGUCUCCAUCUUUCGUAAUAGACAUCCAGUAUGGACCUUUUAGUUAAACAAUCUAUGAUGUUUUUUUCUUUGUUUUCUUCCCUCAGGCCUGGCGUUUAUGGAGAGCAGGAAGAUUGAUCAAGCUUUUCCAUUCACCCCUAGGCAAUGAAUCUGAGAGGACAGAGAUACUAAGAUGCAUCCAGAUAGCACUGCUGUGCGUCGAAGAGGACCCUGCAAACCGGCCUACCAUGCAGGAGGUUGCUCUGAUGCUCAGCUGCCACGAUGUUGCACUGCCUAUGCCUCAGCGACCAGCUUACCUAACGGUUGGAAAGGCGCGCGCCCACUAAUAGGCAGACAUCUGAUGGGAUAAAUUCGCAAGUUUUUCAGUUUACCGAAGUGUAUGCAUAGCUUUGUUUCAUGCUUAUGAACAUUUUGAAGACCCAUGGAAAUCCUCAAAUUCUUUGUUCAAUGAGAGAUAAAGAUUCAAUCGAUUACUUUAAGGUAUCUUAUUUAGGUGCAACCUUCGAUCUGGAACAGACAUCUCAUAUGGGAUAAUUUUGCAAGUUUUUCACGCGUUUGCCAAAUAGAUUAUGGAAAUGCUUAAAUGUUUUAUCUCAGCGCAUACUAAAAGAGAUAAUUAGUGUACAAAUGGAUAUCACAUCCAUUACACAUUCAACGCUGAAGAACAAGAAGCAAUAUGAGAGACUAAAAUUGAAGGCACUUAGCGAAAAAACUGAAGGAUUGUGCAACAGAGUAUGAAGCCAAAAUGUAAAGCACCUUACGAAGAAGUACAACGUUAUAUAUUGCAGAGACAGCAAACAUCCUGGAGUUUGGACGCUAAGGAGCAAAUCUUAUAUUACAGAGAUAGCAAUUCAACAUUUCAGUAUAUGAAUCAUCUGCGGCCAAGUUAUCACAAAUAGACUUACAGGCUGAAUUUGCCUUCCCUGCCUUUGAAGUGGAUAAAUCUGCUUGUACUUUCUUUGAAGCGAACGAAUCUGUCUUUCUGAACAAAGGACGGUUUGUAGCGGCAGCAACUCUUUUAUCAUCACUCGAACUGUUUAUCACCAUUCCAUUCGAGCUGCCAUGAACUUUCACUCUUUGUCACCUCCAUGUGUCGCCCCAGCCUUGUAUUGCAUAAGCCAAUGAAGCCAGAAAAUCUUCGCCGCAGUUAUACUCCACAGUAAGACCAUCUCCAGCAGAUUCCUCGUAUCCCGUUGCCAAACGUUGCCAAAAUAGUUUCUCUCUCCCCUCCAAUAGUUACUUUUGAGUUUUCGUUGAUCACCGCUGCAGUACCAAAAAUCAAUCUCCAAUACAUCCCUAGCACGUGGGGUCCACAAGUCAGAGAUUUUUUUAAAUUUUUUCCCUCCGUCGCUCCUCCCCUUGUCUGCUCAAUCCGCUGCCCCUUCCUUCCAUCGGUGGCGGGCUCCCUCCCGACGGCGGCGCGCCCUCCCGACGAUUGCGCGACCUCGCCUCACCACCACCUUUCUUCCUUCUCUUCCUUCGAUCCUUCUGGCCGGACACGGGCGCGACGGUGUCGCCCGGCCAGAUCUGCGCGGGCGGCGGCGGCGGCGGCGCCAUGGCCACGGAGCACGCCGCCGCGCAGAAGGUCGAGGCCACUAAGGCUGCGGCUGCUGCGGCCGGGAACUGCUACGGGGAGUCGUCGGAGGCCGACCCCAUGCCCCAGCCUCUGCCGUCGGUGCUCGAGCUCCUCCACUCGUGCCGCGGCGCCCCCGCGCCCGCGGCCGCCGAGCUGCCCGAGGAUGACGACAACAGCAAGGCCGCACGUGAGGCUGUUCGGCGUCUCCAUCGGGCGGAACGGGUGCGCGACGUGAGGCUGUUCGGCGUCUCCAACAACAUAAGUUUCAGAAACAGAACCAACAACAGCAGAGUUACGCAGAAUCGUAAAUUAAACAAGAACCAUGGAGAAGUCAUCCGUGGAAAUGCUCGGAAGUGACCAGCGUCGGCCAAGCUAUAGCAUUUUUGCCAUGGACCGCCGAAUCUGUUCCUGUCCAGAGGAGGUUCCUUCGCAUGCGGUCAAGUUCUUUGAUCACCCAGGGUGGCAGCUUAUCUGACAUGAUCAGAUCUGGGCAUGCAUGGUGGAGAGUGUCGACUUCACAAGGGUGAGACGACAACUCUUGUCCAUCAAUGGGCCCUGCCAAGUUGGUAAUUUCGCGGCAACCUUCUCGAUCAACGGUCGGUACUACGAUUUCGGCAGAGCUUUGGUGGAUAGAGCUUUGGCGAUCACACUAUACCCAAUAUAUCUCAUGGCGUCUAUAGUGUGCUUAAGGACGCUGGAGUUAAGCAUCUCCAAUGUGAACCAAAAUGUGCACCUCAAAAGCUAGAGAAGCCACCAGAAUGAAUACUCUUAGGGCAAACAGAUAGAAAAUGUUUGACCUUGCAUAUAGGAAAAAAACAAAAGGUGGAUGGGGUGGGUGAAGGGGGGGAGGGGGCUGAAAUCCACGACCGUAGCCAUCAAGGACAGACACAAGAGAGCCAGCAGCCUCUUAUUACACUGUCACACUGACUCAAACACAAAAGAGAGUUUGAUACCAACAAAAUCCAAUGGUAGGGUUAUCCAAACAAUAGAAAUAGAGUCGAAGAUAAUGCUGCCCAGAAACAGAGUCCAUCCAGGCGACUCUUGAAACAAUAUUACGAUUGACUGCCUACAGAUUAUGUCACUGAAGCAGCCACAAAACGAACAUAUGUAGCAACUGAAAGAAGGAACACUACGGGAAACAAGAAAAUUGCCGAGUGUAUUUUUUUUACCGAGUGUUUUUUUUCGAGCACUCGGCAAACAAGCUCUUCGCCGAGUGCCAAGCCAAAAAUACGAGUGUCAAAAAAAACACUCGGCAAAUCGGGGCUUUGCCGAGUGUCAAAUAAAAAACACUCGGCAAAGCCCCCUCUUUGCCGAGUGUCAAAAAAAACACUCGGCAAACAGGGGGGUUUGCCAAGUGUUUUUUUUUGACACUAGGCAAAAAAAUAAUUUUUUUCCUCUUUUCACCAUGAAAUUUUUUCUACUCCCCACAUACAACAUGUGGUACUCCAUGUUAAAAUUUGGUAUAUUUUUGGAUUUAUUUGCUAUAUUUAUUUAAUUAAUUGCAUUUCAAGGGAAUUUUUUGUAUAAGUCAAAUUUGAACUGCAAGUGAUUCAAAUUAUGGAAGAAAAUGAGUAGAAAAAUGAUAUUCAUGUUUUUCGGCCCAAUUUGAGACCUGACCCAUGAAAUGACAAGAAAUUUCGAACAUCUUGUUCAGGAAACACGACCACGAACGUGUGAUAGUGGUAUUUUUAAAUUAUAAAAAAAAUAAGCAAAGUCUGAAAAUUAUGAGAUUUGUCAUGAUGUGAUGAUAUCAUAGGUGGAGGCUGUGGAAAAAAAUUGAGAAUGUUUUGCACAUUUCAUCACGUACGAUGUUUACAAACCGAAGUAUUUCCGAAGAAAAAUAGUAACGUUGAGAAGGAUUGCAUAAGAUUUGGAGUCAAAAUGACGGUCGAGUUUUGAUUUGACUACAAGACUUUUUUACAGUCAAUAGAGAAUAUAUAUUAUUUCAUGUAAAUUUUUGACAAUUUUUUGAAACUGUUGGAUAUUUUUUAAUUUUUUUUAAAAUAGCUUUGCCGAGUGUCCUAGGGUAGACACUCGGCAAAGAACCCUUCACCGAGUGUCACCCCUAGGACACUCGACGACUUAAGUGCCCGGCCGCCCAAGGACUUAAGUGCCCGGCCCUCUCACUACUCCCCCCGUCACUCCCACCCAUCACUACUC
rnacentral:lncRNA from 1 species